AUCAAUGAAUAAGAUGAUGACUCUCUUGCUAUCUCUUUGUCUCUACACUUUAUUCUUCAUCACGUUAUCAUGCACUUUGUUCUAACCCUAGAGCCAAUAGCACACCAUUUAUUUUCCAAACCCUAAAAACCAAAACCCUAAAAUCGGGCAGCCUUGUUUUUCCCGAUUUCCGACCAAAAUUCCGACUGCCCUCCGCCGGAAUUUUAUAUCCCCAGAAAGCUCUUUCCGUCACGGAUCCAACGCCGCCGGCCUCACCCUGAGAACCGGCCGGAAAGUCUCCGAACCGGCCGUCGGAAAAUUCCAGACCGCCGCCGCUACCGACCACCGGUUCACCACCUUCCCUUGCUCCGAUCAACCUGAAAUUUUGACAGAAGCUUCCCCAUCCAAAGCUGCUCCUCCUGUCAAAUUUUCAGCCCCAAAUUCGAAGUAUAAGUAGGCGAAACGUUAUUUCUCCUCUCGGCAGCCUUUAGAAAAGUAUGUUUUGAAACCUUAAACUCUUCCAAGUUCAAUAACUCGGGGAGGAUAAAAUCCUUUCCUCCCUUCUCCAUCUCCAUUCUAUGCUUGAGAUUUUGUGUGUGCAGGUACCAAAAAUCCCGGAAUUUUAUUCGCGGGUCAAGAGUAUGUUGGAUCACUCUUGUUUCUUUGUCCGGGUUGUGUUUGAUCAACCCCGACCUUUCACCGGAUUGUGUUUGAUCAAUCCGAGGCCUUUUUUCCAAAUUGUGUUUGAUCAAUUCGCGGCUUUUCCGGAUUGUGUAUGAUCAAUCCGAAGGACAAACCAUUAAAAGCAUCGUUUGUGACCUCUAUCGAGUCUCAUAACAGCUUGGUUUUGUAUGCAAGAGCAAUGUAACAUUCUGCUCCUUUGAGUUUUGACGUACUAGAUGCCUAAGGCGGAUCUUCGCUUGGUAUCUGUGGAACCUUUUCAUUGGA
rnacentral:lncRNA from 1 species